rnacentral:rRNA from 1 species
AGGGUGUAAACGCUGCAGACUUGGUGUUGGGAACCCUUCGGGGGUGCUCAGUGCCGGAGAGAAGUUGUUAAGUCUGCUACUUGGGGAGUACGUCCGCAAGGAUGAAACUUAAAGGAAUUGGCGGGGGAGCACCGCAACGGGAGGAACGUGCGGUUUAAUUGGAUUCAACGCCGAAAAACUCACCAGGGAAGACUGUUACAUGAAGGCCGAGAUGAAGACUCUGCUAGAUUUUCAGAGAGGAGGUGCAUGGCGUCAGUGACU